rnacentral:rRNA from 1 species
AGUGAACGCUGGCGGUAGGCCUAACGCAUGCAAGUCGAGCGGCAGCACAGUAAGAGCUUGCUCUUACGGGUGGCGAGUGGCGGACGGGUGAGGAAUACAUCGGAAUCUACUUUUUCGUGGGGGAUAACGUAGGGAAACUUACGCUAAUACCGCAUACGACCUACGGGUGAAAGCAGGGGAUCUUCGGACCUUGCGCGAUUGAAUGAGCCGAUGUCGGAUUAGCUAGUUGGCGGGGUAAAGGCCCACCAAGGCGACGAUCCGUAGCUGGUCUGAGAGGAUGAUCAGCCACACUGGAACUGAGACACGGUCCAGACUCCUACGGGAGGCAGCAGUGGGGAAUAUUGGACAAUGGGCGCAAGCCUGAUCCAGCCAUACCGCGUGGGUGAAGAAGGCCUUCGGGUUGUAAAGCCCUUUUGUUGGGAAAGAAAAGCAGCAGGUUAAUACCCCGCUGUUCUGACGGUACCCAAAGAAUAAGCACCGGCUAACUUCGUG